rnacentral:rRNA from 1 species
AUUGAACGCUGGCGGCAGGCCUAACACAUGCAAGUCGAACGCAGUGGGGACGGGUGAGUAACACGUGGGUAACCUCCCAUCAGAGGGGAUACCACUUGGAAACAGGUGCUAAACCGAUACUGAUGGAUGGCCCCGGGGUGCAUUAGCUAGUUGGUGAGGUAACGGCUCACCAAGGCCACGAUGCAUAGCGGACCUGAGAGGGUGAUAGGCCACACGGGGACUGAGACGCGGCCCAGACGCCUACGGGAGGCAGAAGUAGGGAAUCUUAGGCAAUGGACGAAAGUCUGACCGAGCAACGCCGCGUGAGUGAAGAAGGUUUGCGGAUCGUAAAACUCUGUUGUGAGAGAAGCGGUAUCUAACCAGAAAGCCACGGCUAACUACGUGCCAGCAGCCGCGGUAAUAC